rnacentral:rRNA from 1 species
CAGCCGCCGCGGUAAUACGUAGGUCCCGAGCGUUGUCCGGAUUUAUUGGGCGUAAAGCGAGCGCAGGCGGUUAGAUAAGUCUGAAGUUAAAGGCUGCGGCUUAACCAUAGUACGCUUUGGAAACUGUUUAACUUGAGUGCAAGAGGGGAGAGUGGAAUUCCAUGUGUAGCGGUGAAAUGCGUAGAUAUAUGGAGGAACACCGGUGGCGAAAGCGGCUCUCUGGCUUGUAACUGACGCUGAGGCUCGAAAGCGUGGGGAGCAAACAGGAUUAGAUACCCCAGUAGUCCCUGUCUCUUAUACU